GAUGAACGCUGGCGGCAUGCCUAACACAUGCAAGUCGAUCGGUAAGGCUCUUCGGAGUACACGAGAGGCGGACGGCUGAGUAACGCGAAGGAACACACCCUGCAGUGAGGGAUAAGACACCGAAAGGUGUUCUAAUACCGCAUACGGUCUUCGGAUUAAAGCAUUUAUGCGCUGAAGGAGUGGCCUGCGUCAUAUUAGAUAGUUGGUGAGGUAAUGGCUCACCAAGUCGAUGAUGUGUAGCUGGUCUGAGAGGAUGAUCAGCCAGACUGGAACUGAGACACGGUCCAGACUCCUACGGGAGGCAGCAGUGAGGAAUAUUUCACAAUGAGCGAAAGCUUGAUGGAGCAAUGCCGCGUGCAGGAUGAAGGCCCUCGGGUUGUAAACUGCUUUUAUAAGAGAAGAUUAUGACGGUAACUUAUGAAUAAGGGACGGCUAACUACGUG
rnacentral:rRNA from 1 species